rnacentral:rRNA from 1 species
AUUGAACGCUGGCGGCAUGCCUUACACAUGCAAGUCGAACGGCAGCACGGGAGCAAUCCUGGUGGCGAGUGGCGAACGGGUGAGUAAUAUAUCGGAACGUGCCCAGUCGUGGGGGAUAACGCAGCGAAAGCUGUGCUAAUACCGCAUACGAUCUACGGAUGAAAGCGGGGGAUCGCAAGACCUCGCGCGAUUGGAGCGGCCGAUAUCAGAUUAGCUAGUUGGUGAGGUAAAGGCUCACCAAGGCGACGAUCUGUAGCUGGUCUGAGAGGACGACCAGCCACACUGGAACUGAGACACGGUCCAGACUCCUACGGGAGGCAGCAGUGGGGAAUUUUGGACAAUGGGCGAAAGCCUGAUCCAGCAAUGCCGCGUGCAGGAUGAAGGCCUUCGGGUUGUAAACUGCUUUUGUACGGAACGAAACGGUGAGCUCUAAUACAGUUUGCUAAUGACGGUACCGUAAGAAUAAGCACCGGCUAACUACGUGCCAGCAGCCGCGGUAA